rnacentral:rRNA from 1 species
GCAUGAAGUCGGAACUGCUAGUAAUCGCGGAUCAGCAUGCCGCGGUGAAUACGUUCCCGGGCCUUGUACACACCGCCCGUCACACCAUGGGAGCCGGUAAUACCCGAAGUCAGUGACCCAACCAAUUAGGAGGGAGCUGCCGAAGGCGGGACCGAUAACUGGGGUGAAGUCGUAACAAGGUACC